AUAAAAUAAUUCUAACUCUAAGACAGAAGUUUGAAGUCAUCGCCAGUCUUCUCUCCAAUGCCUCCUAACUCCCUUUCCAACCACCCUUCUGUCACUAGAUGUCACCCUUCUCCAGUGAGUAGCAGGUAUAAAAAAAGAUAGCACAUAAUACGUAAUGGAGGUUUUCUUCCUGAUGCCAUCAACGAAAUGAAAGAAUAUUUUUUAAAAAACAACAA